rnacentral:rRNA from 1 species
AGAGCGAACGCUGGCGGCAGGCUUAACACAUGCAAGUCGAACGGACUCUUCGGAGUUAGUGGCGGACGGGUGAGUAACACGUGGGAACGUGCCUUUAGGUUCGGAACAACACAGGGAAACUUGUGCUAAUACCGGAUAAGCCUUUCGAGGGAAAGAUUUAUCGCCUUUAGAGCGGCCCGCGUCUGAUUAGCUAGUUGGUGAGGUAAAGGCUCACCAAGGCUACGAUCAGUAGCUGGUCUGAGAGGAUGGCCAGCCACAUUGGGACUGAGACACGGCCCAAACUCCUACGGGAGGCAGCAGUGGGGAAUCUUGCGCAAUGGGCGAAAGCCUGACGCAGCCAUGCCGCGUGGAUGAUGAAGGUCUUAGGAUUGUAAAAUCCUUUCAGCGGGGACGAUAAUGACGGUACCCGCAGAAGAAGCCCCGGCUAACUUCGCGCCAGCAGCCGC